GUGGCUAAUCUGCAUAUGCACAUUAGCUCUAUUACCUAUUAGCGGAUUAAAAAGCUUUAAAACAAAGAGGAAGUAGGAAAAGAACUACAUUUCCCAUCUGCCCUGGCUGUCACAGACUAAUAGCACCAGCUGCUUUCCAUUGCCCUAAGGAGUGAUUCUACUGCGGCAACGAGACCAAAUACAACGAAAGUAUUGAUGCUGCAAAAGAAGACGGAUCUUUUGGUAGGCUGGUUAAUGAUGACCACAAGCACCCAAAUGGCAGAAUGCAGAAGACUGAAGUGGAUGGAAGCCCACAUCUUGGUCUGUUUGCUUUAACAGACUUUAAAGAAGGUGAUGAAAUUACCUACAAUUACGGAGGAGGAGACUGGCCUUGGCGUAGCAAGGUAUGCAGGGUAUCUCCCUCUCUGUUUUCACAAUUUAAAAAUUAUUCAAAAAUAAACAUUGUCUUAUCCGGCAGUGUUGCAAUUCAUUUUUGUUGCACAACUAAUUUUGUGCUUGUGCAUUAACAAUAAAAUUAGACAUUAUUGUUCAUCUGAUCUGCUUCAGGUAUUUUACUGCCACGUUUAAGCAUGAACUACAAAACGUGUGUGUCUGAAUGCACCGUAAUUAUCCCAAAGUCUUCCAAAGUAUCCCAUAUCUAACCCUGAAAUCACAAACUUAAUUCCUAUAGUGAAAUAAUUAUUGUUUUUGUCGUAUUGAACAGCAUAUUUGUUUUCUGUUACAUAAUCUUGUCUGUUAAUAGUUACCGCCAAAAAGAAAGAAGUAAAGAAUCUCCGUAAUGUUUAAACUAGAAGACAAAAAACCCCAUCACCUCUCUCUCUCUCUCUCUCUCUCUCUCUCUCUCU